AACGAACGCUGGCGGCAGGCCUAACACAUGCAAGUCGAGCGAGGACUUCGGUCCUAGCGGCGGACGGGUGAGUAACGCGUGGGAACGUGCCCUUUGCUUCGGAAUAGCCCUGGGAAACUGGGAGUAAUACCGGAUGAGCCCUUUGGGGGAAAGAUUUAUCGGCGAAGGAUCGGCCCGCGUUGGAUUAGGUAGUUGGUGGGGUAAUGGCCUACCAAGCCGACGAUCCAUAGCUGGUUUGAAAGGAUGAUCAGCCACACUGGGACUGAGACACGGCCCAGACUCCUACGGGAGGCAGCAGUGGGGAAUCUUAGACAAUGGGGGAAACCCUGAUCGAGCCAUGCCGCGUGAGCGAUGAAGGCCUUAGGGUUGUAAAGCUCUUUCAGCUGGGAAGAUAAUGACGGUACCAGCAGAAGAAGCCCCGGCUAACUCCGUG
rnacentral:rRNA from 1 species